rnacentral:lncRNA from 10 species
GCCUAUUUUAGAUACCUCAUCCAAGUGGAAUCAUGCAGUAUUUGUCCUUCUGUGCCUGGCUCAUUUCACUUAGCAUAAUGUCUUCCAGGUUCAUCCAUGUUGUCGAAAAUGGCAGGGUUUCCUUCUUUUCUCAGGCUGAAAAAUUCUAUUGUGUGUGUGUACCACAUUUUCUUUAUCCAUUCAUCUCUUGAUGGACAUUUGGGUCGUUUCCAUAACUUGACUCUUCUUAACCUUGUUGCAGUGAACACGGGAGUGCAGAUAUCUUUUGAAGAUCCUGUUUUCAAUUCUUUUGGGUAUAUACUCGGUAGUAGGGUUGCAAAUUAAAAAUGGAGCUCUCACAGACCAUUAUUUUCUUGAUCCUUUGGUGCAUUUACUUUGGGUUGCCUAGGAACUCCUCCGUCUGUGGAUUUACCUUGUAGAGUCAGAGGGGAUGAUUGGGGAACCUGCAUGGCGAUGUGGGUUUUGAGCCUCUUUGGAAUUCAAACAAUACUGAUUUACCAGAACAAGAAAAUUUGGCUUUGGCCCCAAUACAGGCUGAGAAAGUUCAUCUUUUUAAAAGGGGCCAGUUCUUGAUUAGUUAGGGUACUGGAAUGGUCCAGGGAGGGAUAACUCAGGCCAUUUGCUUUGCCUCCUUCCCUUUCUUUCUGUCUGAUCUUUGGCCAGUUCAUGGCUUUCUAAUCCUGCCACUGGGGGAUGAAGGAAGAUUAAACUUGUGCCGUUGCCUUUGCAUGUUAUGAGCUCUCCAGAAAAAGUUUGCAUGGGAAUGGCCGAAGAUGUGGUAAGUUAAAGCAAAAUCAAUACACAGUUUACUAUCCAUGUCUUUCUGCUACCCUGCAAAUUUUCUUCCUCUCCAUGUAAUCUCUUUAUUGCAGCCUAGGAACUUUGUCAAGGGCUCCAUGACCAGGGUCUUUAGGAAACUCCAAAGACCUGAGAUUUCACCAGCAGAAAUGACAGCUGUUCCAAAAACAGAAAGGAGGUAAUUUCUUGUGUUUCAAAUUUCUCCAAAGGUGAGAGUUAAGACUCACUCUCAAGAUCUUUAUGUCACAUAGGUAAUGAGAGGAAGGGG